rnacentral:rRNA from 1 species
GUUGAACGCUGGCGGCGUGCCUAAUACAUGCAAGUCGAGCGAACGGACGAGAAGCUUGCUUUUCUGAUGUUAGCGGCGGACGGGUGAGUAACACGUGGAUAACCUACCUAUAAGACUGGGAUAACUUCGGGAAACCGGAGCUAAUACCGGAUAAUAUUUUGAACCGCAUGGUUCAAAAGUGAAAGACGGUCUUGCUGUCACUUAUAGAUGGAUCCGCGCUGCAUUAGCUAGUUGGCAAGGUAACGGCUUACCAAGGCAACGAUGCAUAGCCGACCUGAGAGGGUGAUCGGCCACACUGGAACUGAGACACGGUCCAGACUCCUACGGGAGGCAGCAGUAGGGAAUCUUCCGCAAUGGGCGAAAGCCUGACGGAGCAACGCCGCGUGAGUGAUGAAGGUCUUCGGAUCGUAAAACUCUGUUAUUAGGGAAGAACAUAUGUGUAAGUAACUGUGCACAUCUUGACGGUACCUAAUCAGAAAGCCACGGCUAACUACGUG